rnacentral:rRNA from 1 species
GAGUUUGAUCCUGGCUCAGGAUGAACGCUAGCGGGAGGCUUAACACAUGCAAGUCGAGCGGUAAGGCCCCUUCGGGGGCACACGAGCGGCGCACGGGUGCGUAACGCGUAUGCAACCUGCCUUAUGCAGGGGGAUAGCCCAUGGAAACGUGGAUUAAUACCCCAUAACAUCGUUGAACCGCAUGGUUUAGCGAUUAAAAUUUCGGUGGCAUAAGAUGGGCAUGCGUCUGAUUAGCUUGUUGGUGAGGUAACGGCUCACCAAGGCGACGAUCAGUAGGGGUUCUGAGAGGAUUAUCCCCCACACUGGUACUGAGACACGGACCAGACUCCUACGGGAGGCAGCAGUGAGGAAUAUUGGUCAAUGGGCGCGAGCCUGAACCAGCCAUCCCGCGUGCAGGAUGACGGCCCUAUGGGUUGUAAACUGCUUUUCUACGCCAAGAACGGCCCCGACGUGUCGGGGAUUGACGGUAGCGUAGGAAUAAGCAUCGGCUAACUCCGUGCCAGCAGCCGCGGUAAUACGGAGGAUGCAAGCGUUAUCCGGAUUCAUUGGGUUUAAAGGGUGCGCAGGCGGGCUGAUAAGUCAGUGGUGAAAUAUUGUCGCUUAAUGAUAAGGUUGCCAUUGAUACUGUUGGUCUUGAGUAUGGUUGAGGUAGGCGGAAUGUGCAGUGUAGCGGUGAAAUGCAUAGAUAUUACUCAGAACACCAAUUGCGAAGGCAGCUUACUAAACUACAACUGACGCUGAGGCACGAAAGCGUGGGUAUCAAACAGGAUUAGAUACCCUGGUAGUCUACGCCGUAAACGAUGGUUACUAGCUGUUCGGUCGCAAGACUGAGUGGCUAAGCGAAAGUGAUAAGUAACCCACCUGGGGAGUACGUUCGCAAGAAUGAAACUCAAAGGAAUUGACGGGGGCCCGCACAAGCGGUGGAGCAUGUGGUUUAAUUCGAUGAUACGCGAGGAACCUUACCAAGGCUUAAAUG